rnacentral:rRNA from 1 species
GAUGAACGCUGGCGGCGUGCCUAACACAUGCAAGUCGAGCGAGAAGCUUAUGAUUGACUCUUCGGAAGAUUGAAUAAGUGGAAAGCGGCGGACGGGUGAGUAACGCGUGGGUAACCUGCCCCAUACAAAGGGAUAGCCACUGGAAACGGUGAUUAAUACCAUAUGAGAUCGUAGAGUCGCAUGACUUAGCGGUUAAAGAUUUAUCGGUAUGGGAUGGACCCGCGUCUGAUUAGCUAGUUGGUAAGGUAACGGCUUACCAAGGCGACGAUCAGUAGCCGACCUGAGAGGGUGAUCGGCCACACUGGAACUGAGACACGGUCCAGACUCCUACGGGAGGCAGCAGUGGGGAAUAUUGGGCAAUGGGCGCAAGCCUGACCCAGCAACGCCG